UACCAGCUCUUCGAGUGGUGUGGAUGUUUAUUGGGCCUAAAGCAUCCGUAGCUGGCUGGGCAAGUCCCCUGUUAAAUCCACCGAUUUAAUCGUUGGAGUGCGGGGGAUACUGUUCGGCUAGGGGACGGGAGAGGCAGACGGUAUUUUCGGGGUAGGGUGAAAUCCUAUAAUCCCGGAAGACCACCAGUGGCGAAGGCUGUCUGCUAGAACGCGCCCGACGGUGAGGGAUGAAAGCUGGGGGAGCGAACCGGAUUAGAUACCCGGGUAGUCCCAGCUGUAAACGAUGCAGGCUAGGUGUUUGGGCGGCCACGUGCCGCUCUAGUGCCGCAGGGAAGCCGUUAAGCCUGCCGCCUGGGGAGUACGGCCGCAAGGCUAGAAACUUAAGGAAGUUGGGCGGGGGAGCACCGACAAGGGGUGAAGCUUGCGGUUU
rnacentral:rRNA from 1 species